CUAACCACCCAGAGCUCUUUAGGCCCCAAAGAGGAAUGGGAAGAUGAUGAGGGAGGAGGCAAUAAAAGCAAGAAAAUGUAUCGCCUAAGCCAUUGGAGGAGGCCCGAGAAGAAAGCCAUAACCCCCAUCUGUGUGACUAAGAUGUUUUCCCAGCAUCAGUCUCUCAACCUCCCCAGCUUCAGUCUCUCAACCUCCCCAGCUUCAGCUGCACUACUUCAGAAUGGGACCUCUCCUGGCUUUAUCUACAGUGCAGACUAUGUGUGAACUCUCCAGUGGGCAAAGGAAGGAGUGCAGGCUUCUCUGACUAAUCCCUGAACCAGCUAAGGGCAAGGCCUUAGAAAGUUUCAUCUACAUUCAAGAAGCUUUUAUCUGAUGUCGAGGAAUCUUUACCACUAGCCGCUGUCGGGAAUACAAGUGCACCUUUGUGGCUGACAGUAAGCACUGGGGGGUUUUCCGUGAAAUCCUUGUCAUUUCUUUGACACAUUUUCCUAGAAGUGUCUUGAUGAACAGAAGUUCUUAAUUGGAUUAAAGAAACACAUAUGGUCAAUAAACAUAUGAUGGGAUAUUCAACCUCAUUAAUAAUCAGGGAAAUGCAUAUCAAGGGCACAAGCGAUACCAACCUCACCCACUCGGCUGUUAAGAGUAUGGAAGUGUGACAAUAUCGGGUGUUGGAGGGAGUGUGGAUCUGCAGAAGGUUUUGUACAGUGCUGAUGGGAGGGCGAAAUUGUACAGCCACUUCGUCAUGAUCUCGUAAAGCUGAGCAUUCAAAUGCUCCAUCAUCCAUCAAUCCCACUCUUAGGAAGUCAGGCCAGGGCAACUCUUUCUCAUAUACACCAGCAGAUAUAUAUGAGAACGGUCAUAUCAGCACUAUUCAUAUAAAGCAAAACUUGGGGGCAAUACAAACAUUCUCUGACAGGAGACUGGACCAAUAUACUGUGGUGUGCCUAUAUAAUGGAAUAAUAAACCUCAGUCAAAAUGAAUGAACAAUAGUCCCACGCAACAGUAUGAAUCAGUUUUAGUAGCAGAAUUCAAGUGAAAAAAAGUCUCAGAAGAAUGCAUAUUGCAUGAUACCCUUUGUAUACAGUUAAAAUAAAUCCAAACUGAAAA